rnacentral:rRNA from 1 species
UACCCGCUGAACUUAAGCAUAUCAAUAAGCGGAGGAAAAGAAACCAACAGGGAUUGCCUCAGUAACGGCGAGUGAAGCGGCAACAGCUCAAAUUUGAAAUCUGGCCCCCCUGGGGUCUGAGUUGUAAUUGGCAGAGGAUGCUCCGGGCGCGGCACCGGUCUAAGUUCCUUGGAACAGGACGUCAUGGAGGGUGAGAAUCCCGUAUGUGACUGGAGGCCAAGCCUGUGCGGAGCUCCUUCGACGAGUCGAGUUGUUUGGGAAUGCAGCUCUAAUUGGGUGGUAAAUUUCAUCUAAAGCUAAACAUUGGCCAGAGACCGAUAGCGCACAAGUAGAGUGAUCGAAAGAUGAAAAGCACUUUGGAAAGAGAGUUAAAAAGUACGUGAAAUUGUUGAAAGGGAAGCGCUGGCAACCAGACUUGCUUCCAGAUGAUCAGCUGUUAUUCUUAACGGUGUACUCGUCUGGAGACAGGCCAGCAUCGGUUUUGGCGGCUGGACAAACCCUCCUGGAAUGUGGCUCCCUCCGGGGAGUGUUAUAGCCGGGAGGAUCAUGCAGCCUGCCGGGACCGAGGAACGCGCUUUGGCCCGGAUGCUGGCAUAAUGGUUGUCAGCGGCCCGUCUUGAAACACGGACCAAGGAGUUGUCCUCGCCCGCGAGUGUUUGGGUGUCAAACCCACACGCGUAAUGAAAGUGAACGGAGGUGGGAACCCUUCAGGGCGCACCAUCGACCGAUCCAGAUGUCUUCGGAUGGAUUUGAGUAAGAGCGAGUUGGGACUGACCCGAAAGAUUGUGAACUAUGCCUGAAUAGGGUGAAGCCAGAGGAAACUCUGGUGGAGGCUCGCAGCGGUUCUGACGUGCAAAUCGAUCGUCAAAU